UAGAUCAGUAAUGGCUAGCGCCUCCAGUACAACCCCCAUAUCAAACGAAGAACGAAGAUGGGUUGUCAUUGGUGUAUGUUUGACCAAAGUGCUCACUCCUGCAUUGAGAAAUGUUCUUGCAACCAAAAUACCAAAGUGGCAUCAAGUUUUAUGUCAACCACCGACCGAAAUCGACAAACAAGUUUUUGGUGGACACCAGAAAAAGUUACACCCAUCAACUUUGAACCUCAACUAUAAAAGUAUCAACAACAAUGAUGCCAUUGGAUCACCUCGUGCAUUUGAUUAUGCAGUUAAGGAUGCAUUGUCUUUGGCAAAGUUGUUUGUUAAACCAUUCAUGUCCAAGUUCACUGGCUUUGACGUAACAAUGGAUACGUCUGCAGUCUUAUCAGUGAUUUGUGAAGCUGCCCCAUUUGUAGGAGCUGCUGCUCAUGCAAAGACAGUUCGAUCAGAUGUCAGAAACGAGUGGGCACAUUGCAACUUUGCAGAGUGGACGGAACCAAAAUUUUUUUAUGCUUUUCAAAAUAUGGAAACUUUAUUGAAGAAUGUGAACUUGUCACCUAAUGAUGAACAGAAAUUAUGUGAUGAGCUAAAUAGCUGGAAAGAAAAAGGUAAUUAAUGCCUACUGUAAUAUUCAGAUAUCCCAAAUUUCGAGAUUUGAUGAACACAUUGUCAAUGUUGGUCUAGUAUUAUGCAAAAAGGUGGUCCUUGUUUGUCGCCUGCGUAUUGUAUUAAGCCAAAUAAACUAAUAGCAUUCUUUAAACUGAGGCACUUGCCAGAAAUUAGCACGGAGGAGGGGAGGGAUAGGUCUGAAUUAGAUAGGUGUCCGUUUUAUGUAUAAAGGUUUUUUAAAGGAAACUGUAUGGAAAUUUAAGCGAAACCAGCUACAUUAUUGAGGUUCAAGCUACAUUGAGGAGCUCAUUGGUUCAAAAUAUUUUAUUGUACUUGCUCAGUUCCUCUUGACUGCCAGUCUGUAGUCUUCAAUCGUUAAGUCAUAAUGAGAAUUAUCUAUGUCCCUAUAUUGGAAACUGUAGUUUAUAUUUUGAAAGAGGCUCUAUAAGUACAGUAUUUUACUUUAUUUCAGGAUUCCAGUUGUGUUUUGGUCAACCUGUGGACAUUGAAGUCUUGACUUUACUCAGAGGUAAAGUGGAUGAACUUUGUGAAGCUAUCAAGACAUGGAAUUUAGAGAAACGACAG